rnacentral:rRNA from 1 species
GUCGAGAAUCUUUCACAAUGGGGGCAACCCUGAUGGAGCGACGCCGCGUGGAGGAUAAGGUCUUCGGAUUGUAAACUCCUGUCAUGCGUGAACAAGGUUGCUUGGUUAAUACCUGGGCAAAUUGAUGGUAACGCAAGAGGAAGAGACGGCUAACUCUGUGCCAGCAGCCGCGGUAAUACAGAGGUCUCAAGCGUUGUUCGGAAUAACUGGGCGUAAAGGGUGCGUAGGUGGCGUGGUAAGUCAGAUGUGAAAGCCCGGGGCUAAACCUCGGAACUGCAUCCGAUACUACCAUGCUAGAGUACUGGAGAGGUGACUAGAAUUCUCGGUGUAGCAGUGAAAUGCGUAGAUAUCGAGAGGAAUACCAAAGGCGUAGGCAGGUCACUGGACAGUUACUGACACUGAGGCACGAAGGCCAGGGGAGCGAACGGGAUUAGAUACCCGGGUAGUCC